ACCGCAUGGUUCGAAAUUGAAAGGCGGCUUCGGCUGUCACUUAUGGAUGGACCCGCGUCGCAUUAGCUAGUUGGUGAGGUAACGGCUCACCAAGGCAACGAUGCGUAGCCGACCUGAGAGGGUGAUCGGCCACACUGGGACUGAGACACGGCCCAGACUCCUACGGGAGGCAGCAGUAGGGAAUCUUCCGCAAUGGACGAAAGUCUGACGGAGCAACGCCGCGUGAGUGAUGAAGGCUUUCGGGUCGUAAAACUCUGUUGUUAGGGAAGAACAAGUGCUAGUUGAAUAAGCUGGCACCUUGACGGUACCUAACCAGAAAGCCACGGCUAACUACGUGCCAGCAGCCGCGGUAAUACGUAGGUGGCAAGCGUUAUCCGGAAUUAUUGGGCGUAAAGCGCGCGCAGGUGGUU
rnacentral:rRNA from 1 species